rnacentral:misc_RNA from 1 species
AUCUCUUUCUGUUAUUUGAUCAAUUCCACUCUCCCCCUCUCCGGAGUUGCUUUUGUGUUUAAUUGAUGAUAAGUAGCCUAGCUUGAUGAGUUUACGUUGGAGGUUGUUGUUUGGUUUUUGUGGGAAUUUGAGAUAGAAUCGGGCUCCUUUUGCUUUAAAUAUUAGUCAGUUAUGGGGUAAUUUUGUGGAUUUGUUGAAUUACAAAUGAAUAAUAGCAAUGCAAGG